GAGUGGCGAACGGGUGAGUAAUGUAUCGGAACGUGCCCAGUCGUGGGGGAUAACGCAGCGAAAGCUGCGCUAAUACCGCAUACGAUCUAUGGAUGAAAGCGGGGGACCGUAAGGCCUCGCGCGAUUGGAGCGGCCGAUAUCAGAUUAGGUAGUUGGUGGGGUAAAGGCUCACCAAGCCAACGAUCUGUAGCUGGUCUGAGAGGACGACCAGCCACACUGGGACUGAGACACGGCCCAGACUCCUACGGGAGGCAGCAGUGGGGAAUUUUGGACAAUGGGCGCAAGCCUGAUCCAGCAAUGCCGCGUGCAGGAAGAAGGCCUUCGGGUUGUAAACUGCUUUUGUACGGAACGAAACGGUCCUGGUUAAUACCUGGGGCUAAUGACGGUACCGUAAGAAUAAGCACCGGCUAACUAC
rnacentral:rRNA from 1 species